CAGGGCUGUGGGAUCAGGGGGAAGCGUGUGAGGAGGAGCAGGCGCGCUGGGGAGCUGGCAAAGCCACUAGUUGUUGCAGAACUGGGCUGGGUGUCAGCUUCCUUGGAGCAGCAGCUGCUUGGAGCCCCCCAGCCCCCACCCCUGCCCCAGGCUGAGGGCUGCUCGGGGUUCCUAUGGGACAGCUGCUGGGAGAGCAGGGAUGUGGGCAAGGAGAGACUCCUGGCACAAGAAUCCUGCUGUGACCCUGGAGGGGGGAGCCCAGACAAUGGGGUAGGACUGAUGUCUUAAAGAAGCAGGAAUGCCCAAACAUGGAGCAGUGAUCCCGACAGAGCUGGGCUUCAAGGAGGCGGUGGUGCUGUGAGACCCAGGACAGAGUGCUGCCAGUGGGGCCCUUUAAGGUCUCUGCCUCCCCCAGCUUCCCGGAGGGGACAACUGAAGCCAACCAGCCAGCCAGCCACCAGCCAGGGCCACUGGAGGAUCACCCUGGAGAGCAGGAAGACACCAUGGGAGCCGGUGCCCCCCGCCAGGACAAGCUGGGCGGCCUUGAGCCGAGAGAGCAUCCCAUGGAACCACGGAUACCCUGAGAGGGGCUGGUCGCUGUCACUGCCCUCUGUCUCCCCGGGAAACGGGAAUGACCCUUCAGAAGGUCGCGGCACACCUGAUUGAGCACACAUUACCAUUUACAAGGACCCGGGUUCAAGACCCCAGUCAGCACCCACAGGAGUGGGGGAGGAAGAAGCUUCAUGAGUGGUGAAGCAAUGCUGCAGGUGUCUCUCU